CACUUGUGCAAGGAUUUUUGGGGCGCACCGCUCAGAACACACACGGGGCCUGCAGUGAGCUGCUGGGUGUGCAAGGUGGCUUGUGCGUGUGCAAGCCAACAUUGUGCGUGUGCAAGGUGGCUUGUGUGUGUGCAAGGCUGAGUGUGCAAGGGGUUUUGCACGAGGGCGGGCUCACGGUUUGGCGCCGAGAGGUAUCGGCGGUGCGGGAGGGUCCGAUUUUGGGGCAGUUUCAGGGUGGUUUGGUGCAAAGGCUUUGGGGGUGUGCAAGAGGACACUUGUGCAAGGAUGUUUGGGGGUGUGCAAGGUGAAUCACUUUCACAAGGGGCGUGCAAAGGCAUUUGGGGUGUGCAAGAAGACACUUGUGCAAGGACAUUUAAGGUGUGCAAGGCAAGUCACUUUUACAAGGGACGUGUAAAGGCAGAGGUGUGCAAGGUGGCUUGUGUGUGUGCAAGGCUGAGUGUGCAAGGGGUUUUGCACGAGGGCGGGCUCACGGUUUGGCGCCGAGAGGUAUCGGCGGUGCGGGAGGGUCCGAUUUUGGGGCAGUUUCAGGGUGGUUUGGUGCAAAGGCUUUGGGGGUGUGCAAGAGGACACUUGUGCAAGGAUGUUUGGGGGUGUGCAAGGUGAAUCACUUUCACAAGGGGCGUGCAAAGGCAUUUGGGGUGUGCAAGAAGACACUUGUGCAAGGACAUUUAAGGUGUGCAAGG
rnacentral:lncRNA from 1 species